ACCGGUGCUAAUACCGGAUACCCCCACCAGAUCGCAUGGUCAGGUGAGGAAAUGCCUGAAUCUCAACAAUUCAGACGCUUCGGGAGGGGCUCGCGGGCUAUCAGCUUGUUGGUGGGGUAACGGCCUACCAAGGCGACGACGGCUAGCUGGUCUGAGAGGACGACCAGCCACACUGGGACUGAGACACGGCCCAGACUCCUACGGGAGGCAGCAGUGGGGAAUCUUGCGCAAUGGGCGAAAGCCUGACGCAGCAACGCCGCGUGGGGGAUGAAGGCCUUCGGGUCGUAAACCCCUUUCAGCAGGGACGAAAAUGACGGUACCUGCAGAAGAAGCCCCGGCCAACUACGUGCCAGCAGCCGCGGUAAUACGUAGGGGGCGAGCGUUGUCCGGAUUCAUUGGGCGUAAAGAGCUCGUAGGCGGCCUGAUAAGUCAGGUGUGAAAUCUCCAGGCUCAACCUGGAGAGGUCAUUCGAUACUGUCA
rnacentral:rRNA from 1 species